CGCGAAUGGCUCAUUACAACAGCUAUAAUUUACUUGAAUUUGACAACCCUACUUGGAUACCGGUGGUAACUCUAGCGCUAAUACAUGCACCAAAGCUCCGACCACGAGGGAAGAGCGCAUUUAUUAGAACAAAACCACACGGCUUCGGCCGUCCAAUGUUGACUCAGAAUAACUAAGCUGAUCGCAUGGUCUUGCACCGGCGACGUUUCUUUCAAGUAUCUGCCUUAUCAACUUUCGAUGGUAGUGUAUCUGACUACCAUGGUGAUGACGGGUAACGGAGGAUAAGGGUUCGACUCCGGAGAAGGGGCCUGAGAAAUGGCCACUAUGUCUAAGGAUGGCAGCAGGCGCGCAAAUUACCCACUCUCAGUACGAGGAGGUAGUGACGAGAAAUAACAAGACCGUUCUCACAAGAGGCCGGUCAUUGGAAUGGGUACAAUUUAAACCCUUUAACGAGUAUCUAUGAGAGGGCAAGUCUGGUGCCAGCAGCCGCGGUAAUUCCAGCU
rnacentral:rRNA from 1 species